rnacentral:misc_RNA from 1 species
UGAAGUCAUGGGAACCUUCAAA